AGGUCAAGUUAUUAAGGGCAAAGGGUGGAUGCCUUGGCACUAGGAGCCGAAGAAGGACGUGGUAAGCUGCGAAAAGUCUCGGGGAGCUGCAAGCAAGCAUUGAUCCGGGAAUGUCCGAAUGGGGAAACCCACUUGGGGUAAUGCCCAAGUAUCUAGUACUGAAUACAUAGGUACUAGAAGGUAGACCGGGGGAACUGAAACAUCUAAGUACCCCGAGGAAGAGAAAGAAAAAUCGAUUCCCUAAGUAGCGGCGAGCGAAAGGGGAAGAGCCCAAACCGUUAGUUUCGGCUAACGGGGUUGCGGAGAUGGUCAUUAAGAAAGAGGCUAUUGUAGUAGAAGAGAGUUGGAAAGCUCCACCAUAGAGGGUAACAGUCCCGUAAACGAAACAAGAAGACUUUCGACUAUCAUCCAGAGUACCACGGGACACGUGAAACCCUGUGGGAAGCAGGGGGGACCACCCCCCAAGGCUAAAUACUCCCUAGUGACCGAUAGCGCAUAGUACCGUGAGGGAAAGGUGAAAAGAACCCCGGAAGGGGAGUGAAAUAGAACCUGAAACCUUUUGCCUACAAGCUGUGGAAGCACUUUAUAUGUGUGACCGCGUACUUUUUGUAGAACGGGCCAACGAGUUAUGGUAUGUAGCAAGGUUAAGGACUUAAGGUCUGGAGCCGUAGGGAAACCGAGUCUUAAUAGGGCGAUCAGUUACAUGCUAUAGACCCGAAACCAGGCGACCUACCCAUGGGCAGGAUGAAGCGGAAGUAAAAUUUCGUGGAGGUCCGAACCAGUUGACGUUGAAAAGUCAUUGGAUGACCUGUGGGUAGCGGAGAAAUUCCAAUCGAGCCUGGAGAUAGCUGGUUCUCGCCGAAAUAGCUUUAGGGCUAGCCUUGGAGUAAGAGUGACGGAGGUAGAGCACUGAAUAGUCUAGGGGCCUUCACCGGUUACCAAAACUUAUCAAACUCCGAAUGCCGUUAAUUCAUAUCCAGGAGUCAGACUGCGAGUGAUAAGAUCCGUAGUCGAGAGGGAAACAACCCAGACCAUCAGCUAAGGUCCCAAAGUAUACGUUAAGUGGGAAAGGAUGUGGAGUUGCACAGACAACCAGGAUGUUGGCUUAGAAGCAGCCAUUCAUUUAAAGAGUGCGUAAUAGCUCACUGGUCGAGUGAUUCUGCGCCGAAAAUGUCCGGGGCUCAAACGUAUCACCGAAGCUAUGGAUGCAGCAAUGCAUGGUAGGCGAGCAUUCUAUAUAGGUUGAAGCUAUACCGUAAGGAGUGGUGGACUGUAUAGAAGAGAGAAUGUUGGCAUGAGUAACGAGAGGUGAGUGAGAAUCUCACCCGUCGAAAACCUAAGGUUUCCUGAGGAAGGUUCGUCCACUCAGGGUUAGUCGGGACCUAAGCCGAGGCCGAAAGGCGUAGGCGAUGGACAACAGGUUGAGAUUCCUGUACCACCUAUGAUCGUUUGAGAGAUGGGGUGACACAGUAGGAUAGGCUGAGCCCACCGUUGGUUGAGUGGGUCUAAGCGAGUAGGGAGCUAGACUAGGCAAAUCCGGUUUAGCAUAAUCCUGAGACGUGAUGGGGAGCGAAAUAUAAGUAGCGAAGCAGCUGAUUCCACACUGUCAAGAAAAGCCUCUAUCGAGAUUAAUAGGUGCCCGUACCGCAAACCGACACAGGUAGGUGAGGAGAGAAUCCUAAGACGAGCGGGAGAACCAUUGUUAAGGAACUCGGCAAAAUGACCCCGUAACUUCGGGAGAAGGGGUGCCGAAGGGUGUGAAGGACAUGCUCCGUAAGCACACUUCGGUCGCAGAGAACAGGCCCAAGCGACUGUUUAGCAAAAACAUAGGUCUCUGCAAAGUCGAAAGACGACGUAUAGGGGCUGACGCCUGCCCGGUGCUGGAAGGUUAAGGGGAAGUGUUAGGGUAACCGAAGCACAGAACUUAAGCCCCAGUAAACGGCGGCCGUAACUAUAACGGUCCUAAGGUAGCGAAAUUCCUUGUCGGGUAAGUUCCGACCCGCACGAAAGGCGUAACGAUUUGGGCGCUGUCUCAACAAUGGACCCGGUGAAAUUGUAAUACCAGUGAAGAUGCUGGUUACCUGCGACAGGACGGAAAGACCCCGUGGAGCUUUACUGCAACUUGACAUUGGAUUUUGGUACUACAUGUACAGGAUAGGUGGGAGACUUAGAAUCUAGAACGCCAGUUUUGGAGGAGUCGCUGUUGGGAUACCACUCUUGUAGUACUGAAGUUCUAACCAUGAACCGUAAGCCGGUUUUGGGACACUGUCAGGUGGGCAGUUUGACUGGGGCGGUCGCCUCCUAAAAAGUAACGGAGGCGCUCAAAGGUUCCCUCAGCACGGUCGGAAAUCGUGCAAAGAGUGCAAAGGCAUAAGGGAGCUUGAUUGCGAGACCAACAAGUCGAGCAAGGACGAAAGUCGGACUUAGUGAUCCGGUGGUACCGAGUGGAAGGGCCAUCGCUCAACGGAUAAAAGCUACCCCGGGGAUAACAGGCUUAUCUCCCCCAAGAGUCCACAUCGACGGGGAGGUUUGGCACCUCGAUGUCGGCUCAUCACAUCCUGGGGCUGAAGUAGGUCCCAAGGGUUGGGCUGUUCGCCCAUUAAAGUGGUACGCGAGCUGGGUUCAGAACGUCGUGAGACAGUUCGGUCCCUAUCCGUCGCAGGCGUAGGAAAUUUGAGAGGAGCUGUCCUUAGUACGAGAGGACCGGGAUGGACGUACCGCUGGUGUACCAGUUGUCUUGCCAAAGGCACCGCUGGGUAGCUAUGUACGGAAGGGAUAAGUGCUGAAGGCAUCUAAGCACGAAGCCCCCCUCAAGAUAAGAUUUCCCAUCACGCAAGUGAGUAAGACCCCAGGAAGACUACCUGGUAGAUAGGUCGGAGGUGUAAGUGCAGUAAUGUAUUAAGCUGACCGAUACUAAUAGGUCGAGGACUUGACCUAA
rnacentral:rRNA from 1 species